rnacentral:rRNA from 1 species
GACGAACGCUGGCGGCGUGCUUAACACAUGCAAGUCGAACGGAAAGGCCCUGCUUGCAGGGUACUCGAGUGGCGAACGGGUGAGUAACACGUGGGUGAUCUGCCCUGCACUUCGGGAUAAGCCUGGGAAACUGGGUCUAAUACCGGAUAGGAGCCAUUUUUAGUGUGAUGGUUGGAAAGUUUUUUCGGUGUAGGAUGAGCUCGCGGCCUAUCAGCUUGUUGGUGGGGUAAUGGCCUACCAAGGCGGCGACGGGUAGCCGGCCUGAGAGGGUGGACGGCCACAUUGGGACUGAGAUACGGCCCAGACUCCGACGGGAGGCAGCAGUGGGGAAUAUUGCACAAUGGGCGCAAGCCUGAUGCAGCGACGCCGCGUGGGGGAUGACGGCCUUCGGGUUGUAAACUCCUUUCGCUAGGGACGAAGCUUUUUGUGACGGUACCUAGAUAAGAAGCACCGGCUAACUACG